UUAUCAUCCAUUUAUUGGGAAAUCAGAAACGUGUGUAAUGUACCAAAACAUGAAAUACUAGUAAUAAAAAAGAUGUACAGAUAAAACUACUUUCAUAAAAAUGUGCUGACAUUGGCACCAGGUUAGGACUGCCUGUUCGCAAAUGAGUGGACGGGUUAUUUGUGAGUUUUGACCUGAGUUUCAACCAACUUGGAGGGUUUGGGAUGCACUGAAUUCUUCUAAAUUGUGUUGUGUGUCUGGAGUCAAGGUGGAUGGUGCAUGCAUUGUUGUCCGAGUUCCACUUCUUGCCCCAAAUGAGCCUAAUGAAGGUUAGAGUCCUAAUGGAUAAUGACUGUUUACGUUGGAGUCAUGACACGUGAUAGUAUGGAAAACCGUAUGAGCAUUCAUUCCAUAGCCUUGAUAUCCAGUUAAAAGUUCAUGUACUAUUAUGCUCUUGGUCCUCAAUAGUAAGACGAUUCAGCGCACAAAUAAAGCGACCCCGGUGCACUAGUAGCACGACUGAGACAAAAAAAAAAUUAAGCACAAAUGCCCUACUUGUAGCAUUUUUCUCCCCACUAGUGCCACUUGAGCCAAGAGCUACCUUCCUAUAAACUACUGUGCUGCUCAUUUUCGAGCAAGAUCAAAAUCCCCCAGUCCAAAACAAUUGGUUAUUUUAUCUACUCACCCGAAGCUUUAUGAAUUGUUUUAUCCAUUACGGGUUGUUGUUUUUUUUUUUUUUUUUUUUUUUAAUGUAGCAUUUGCGUUAUUUCUGUGCGUCGCGUCGUGACGUCAUCGCAUCUUCAAAUCGACAGUCUCGCUUCCAUCCACUUGAGAAUUCACGUACACUUUGCUGUCGGACAUAAAGUUCGCCGUCGAAAUUAUCCAAUCGACGAGUCUCAUGGACCGCUUCGUUAGUACUGCGCUGACAGAGUGGCAGUUGACAGAAGACAGUGUAGAAAAUUUCAAAGCUUCCAUUUAACCCCUUGACGCCGAUUAUCGCAAAUUCGUAUCAAACCCCUUUCACUCUAAAUACAGCCAACAUUUAGGACUGUGUUCCUCGACUGCUGAUUGAUACAUUACCAACACAAACCUCGGAACAAUUUGGAAGCAUGAAUUUCUCUGGAUUCCGGUCGAAGGGGACAUCGCAUCCUGUUUUGGACUGCUGAGAUCAACUCGUGCUACGCUGCCAAUUUUGGGCUGCCAACUCUGUUCGAUUUAGACACUUCACUUGGAUUAACACCAAUGCAUGCGAGCGGAGAAGGACAGUUAGGCGAGGCCGGGCGCAGUCGAUGAGGCGGAGAGGGCGGAAUGGGAGACAGUGGGCGAGUUCAUUGGCCAAAGACCAAGGCAAAGGGCGUCAGAAGCGAGGAAAAGGUCAGUCAUUAGUUAAAAGUGGAUAGAGGAGGAAAAAAAAAAAAACGAGACACGGGGCCACUAGGUAAUCAGUGUUGACAUUGGAGCCUUGUAAACAUGUAUCCUUCAAAUUCAGUAUGUGCUUAGAUUGACAGCGGGGCCUUGAUAAAACUGUCGAGGAUACAUAGUGUGCUCUUUACAAGGGGUGUAAACAAUGUUAAACCCGCUGCCGUGUGUGCUCUCGAAUGCUCCGGAUCGAUGCGGCUCACGAUUAU